ACGCUCGACACCUACGGGAGGCAGCAGUUGGGAAUAUUGGACAAUGGAGGAAACUCUGAUCCAGUGACGCCGCGUGAAGGAAGAAGGUCUUCGGAUUGUAAACUUAUUUUGUCAGGGAAGAAAAAAUGACUGUACCUGAAGAAAAAGCACCGGCUAACUACGUGCUAGCAGCCGAGGUAAUCUGAGCGGGCUGGCAAGGC
rnacentral:rRNA from 1 species